GACCGAUCCCUCCCAAAAUUUUCGCCUGCCCCCUACACCGGGUGCCCCUGUGAGCGACUACAGUGACUGCAGCCGAUCGCCCGUCAUAUCGCACCAACUGCCGCAAUUCUACGGAGAUGCUUGCGGAAAACUGCUUCGCCGAAAGGAAUGUAUCCGGCGCAUGACACGAGCAUUCAUACCCCCGUGU
rnacentral:lncRNA from 1 species